GGGCAGUUAGCUCAGUUGGUAGAGCACGGCACUGAAAAUGCCGGGGUCCCCGGUUCAAGUCCGGGACUGCCCA
rnacentral:tRNA from 1 species